GGUGCCCCCCUUGUGGUCGGUAUACAGGUGGUGCAUGGCUGUCGUCAGCUCGUGUUGUGAGAUGUUGGGUUAAGUCCCGCAACGAGCGCAACCCUUGUUCUGUGUUGCCAGCAUGCCCUUCGGGGUGAUGGGGACUCACAGGAGACUGCCGGGGUCAACUCGGAGGAAGGUGGGGACGACGUCAAGUCAUCAUGCCCCUUAUGUCUUGGGCUGCACACGUGCUACAAUGGCCGGUACAAUGAGCUGCGAUGCCGCGAGGCGGAGCGAAUCUCAAAAAGCCGGUCUCAGUUCGGAUUGGGGUCUGCAACUCGACCCCAUGAAGUCGGAGUUGCUAGUAAUCGCAGAUCAGCAUUGCUGCGGUGAAUACGUUCCCGGGUCUUGUACACACCGA
rnacentral:rRNA from 1 species